rnacentral:sRNA from 1 species
AGCAGCAGCCCCCACCCCCACCCCCACCCCCGCAAAGCCCAGAGGAAGGGACAACGUACAUCGCUCCUGCAAAAGAACCCUCGGUCAACACAGCACUGGUUCCUCAGCUCUCCACAAUCUCACGAGCACUCACACCUUCCCCCGUUAUGGUCCUUGAAAACAUUGAACCCGAAAUUGUAUAUGCAGGCUAUGACAGCUCAAAACCAGAUACAGCCGAAAAUCUGCUCUCCACGCUCAACCGCUUAGCAGGCAAACAGAUGAUCCAAGUCGUGAAGUGGGCAAAGGUACUUCCAGGAUUUAAAAACUUGCCUCUUGAGGACCAAAUUACCCUAAUCCAGUAUUCUUGGAUGUGUCUAUCAUCAUUUGCCUUGAGCUGGAGAUCGUACAAACAUACGAACAGCCAAUUUCUCUAUUUUGCACCAGACCUAGUCUUUAAUGAGUAAGUACCUAUUAAUUAGCCUUCAUAAAAUAAACUGCAGAGUUAUGCAUUA